GGAAAGGUGGCAGAGUGGUUGAAUGCGGCGGUCUCGAAAACCGUUUGGCGCGUUUCGUGUCACGGGGGUUCGAAUCCCCCCCUUUCCG
rnacentral:tRNA from 1 species